UAAUGGGGAAAAGAGAGCUCGAUGGGCGUGCUUGGGCUGUCCGUCAGAUCUCGGAUAUGCUCUGAUGACCUCACGUCCUGUGACAAAUCAGUAUUAACCACUGGCGCAGAGCUGCAAGCGUUUGCGUUUCUCGGGUCCUUGAUGCCUGAACCCAUUCUUUGCAUAAUAUGAUGUAAGAGGGGCUGGCCAAAGAGAGCAGACCUGCUGGAAUACGAUUGGAGGGGAGUGGAAACCCUCAGGAAUUCAGUGAUUUGUACCAGUGGAUUGGCUGGACCACAGCUGAGUGGCAGGGCUUUUAAUUCCACUUUGCAGAGUGAUCAAGGUCAACAAACAGAGCCAACGGGGAAAACUGGAUUCCCGUAUUUGUCUUGAAUUGGCCGUGUCACUGGGCUGGAACCGGGCCACGCGUUUUCGCCCCUCUGUUUGGGCCUGUUGUUCCGACUCAUCAAGUGACUCAACAUGGGCCUGAGUGCUGAGUUUGGGCAUCGGGGCCUUUUUCUAAGAGGCGUUAAAGGAGGAAGGACAUUCCUAGACGAUGAACCUUAAUGCGCGGCAUGCCUCCAGUGUUGUGAAGAAUCAUCGCUGAGCAGAGCUGAGCUGCGUGAGCGUUAUUGGGAGCUCGCGGUCAAGGGCGAUUUUUCUGAGUGAAGUCGCCACGGCCGCCGUACAUCACGCACGCUCGCCCUCCCGGGCCCCGGCCAUUAUCCGCCAACGUCGUGAUCCUCGCGCACAAAAAAAGCGCGCCGCUCUAAUUUACUGCGCCGUGAUAGAUUUACGCCCUCCUCCCCAUUAGUGUGUACAUUACCCUCAGCGUGUUAUGCAAUGGUGUUAGGAAGAUUUAGGGAAAGGAUAACAAGCAAUAAAUUUGACGUCUUUUGCGGUGAGAACCUUUCUGCCGUCCGUCCCGCUGUGCUCCCAUUGGUGGGGGGUGGGGGGGGUUUAAAAACACGCCUCUCGGGGCUUGGGUGAAAACGUCCUGAGGAUGAGGGCGUGGUCCCCUCAUUAACCUCCAUGAUGGUCUGUGGGUACUUUAGUGAGGACUGCGAGAGAUAAGGGCACAGAAUACCAGCUGAGACUUGUGCUGGAAUGACCAGCAUUGGGAACUUAAAAACACUGUAAAUAAAUGCCUUGUGUAUCCUUCUGUAGGA